rnacentral:rRNA from 1 species
UACAGAGGGGGCAAGCGUUGUUCGGAAUUACUGGGCGUAAAGGGCGCGUAGGCGGCCUGUUAAGUCGAACGUGAAAUCCCCGGGCUCAACCCGGGAACUGCGUCCGAUACUGGUAGGCUUGAAUCCGGGAGAGGGAUGCGGAAUUCCAGGUGUAGCGGUGAAAUGCGUAGAUAUCUGGAGGAACACCGGUGGCGAAGGCGGCAUCCUGGACCGGCAUUGACGCUGAGGAGCGAAAGCGUGGGGAGCAAACAGG